AGCUCAGACGCGGGGGAGGAGCAGAGACACAGAGGAGGAGCACUGGGCAGCAGACGGAGCAUGCACAGGUGUGAAAAUGUCAAAUCUACAGGAAACAAAGAGGAGGAGGAAGAGGAAGAUGAAGAGUGAUGAUGAAGAGCAGAGUGAUGUUGCACAAAAGAGGAAUCCUGGCCCCAGCAGUUUGGGGAAGAUGGAGUCGACUGGUCCCAGGCCUUUGUCACUGAAGAGUGAUAGUUCUAUGUUUCAGCCUAUGACCUUUCAACGAGGACCCAAAAGGUUGUGAACCUAUCAACUUGGUCCUUCGAGCCGGAUCCCAAUAUACCGGAGGACUCCAGUGGAUGUCGGAGACCCAGGAGAGACUGUGGCCACAGCAUAUGAGACCUUUUCCAGGACUGGUCUCUUCGAUAUCUUUUGGAGUCUAAAGGUUGACGGGAUACCGAGGGAGAGAGACGAGACGAAUCCCAGCUUCCAGUUUGUUGCGUUUGUGAAAAGACUUUUGAAGAAGACCCUUUGUAUUUGACCUGUC
ensembl:lncRNA